ACGGCUCAGUAACACGUGGACAACCUACCCUCAGCACGGGGAUAAACCCGGGAAACUGGGUAUAAUACCCGAUAGUUCUGGGAUGCUGGAAUGCGCCCAGGACGAAAGCUCCGGCGACUGAGGAUGGGUCUGCGGCCUAUCAGGUAGUAGUGGGUGUAAUGUACCUACUAGCCUACGACGGGUACGGGUUGUGAGAGCAAGAGCCCGGAGAUGGAUUCUGAGACACGAAUCCAGGCCCUACGGGGUGCAGCAGGCGCGAAAACUUUACAAUGCUGGCAACAGCGAUAAGGGGACCUCGAGUGCCAGGAUACAAUCUUGGCUGUCGUAAUGCCUAAAAAGCAUUGCAUAGCAAGGGCCGGGCAAGACCGGUGCCAGCCGCCGCGGUAACACCGGCGGCUCGAGUGGUAACCGCUAUUAUUGGGUCUAAAGGGUCUGUAGCCGGCCGGAUAAGUCUCUUGGGAAAUCCAGCUGCUCAACAGUUGGGCUUUCAGGAGAUACUGUUCGGCUCGAGACCGGGAGAGGUGAGAGGUACUUCAGGGGUAGGGGUGAAAUCUUGUAAUCCUUGAAGGACCACCAGUGGCGAAGGCGUCUCACCAGAACGGAUCUGACGGCAAGGGACGAAAGCUAGGGGCACGAACCGGAUUAGAUACCCGGGUAGUCCUAGCCGUAAACGAUACUCGCUAGGUGUCGGCCACGGUGCGACCGUGGUCGGUGCCGUAGGGAAGCCGUGAAGCGAGCCACCUGGGAAGUACGGCCGCAAGGCUGAAACUUAAAGGAAUUGGCGGGGGAG
rnacentral:rRNA from 1 species